rnacentral:tRNA from 1 species
GCCGCCAUGGCGGAACUGGCAGACGCACACGACUCAAAAUCGUGCGGGAAACCAUGUGGGUUCGAUUCCCACUGGCGGCA